rnacentral:rRNA from 1 species
CCUACGGGAGGCAGCAGUGGGGAAUAUUGCACAAUGGGGGAAACCCUGAUGCAGCGACGCCGCGUGAAGGAAGAAGUAUCUCGGUAUGUAAACUUCUAUCAGCAGGGAAGAAAAUGACGGUACCUGACUAAGAAGCCCCGGCUAACUACGUGCCAGCAGCCGCGGUAAUACGUAGGGGGCAAGCGUUAUCCGGAUUUUCUGGGGGUAAAGGGAGCGUAGGCGGUGAAGCAAGUCAGCAGUGAAAGCCCGGGGCUCAACCCCGGGACUGCUUUUGAAACUGUUGAACUAGAUUGCAGGAGAGGUAAGUGGAAUUCGUAGUGUAGCGGUGAAAUGCGUAGAUAUUAGGAAGAACACCAGUGGCGAAGGCGGCGUACUGGAGUGUAAAUGACGCUGAGGCUCGAAAGCGUGGGGAGCGAACAGGAUUAGAUACCCUAGUAGUC